CGGACGGGUAAGUGACGCGUGAGAAUCUGCCCCCCAGGUUGGGGAUUAACAGAGGGAAACCACCGCUAAUUACCGGAUGUGACUGGGAAGUCAAAAUUAUAUCCGCCUGGGGAUGAGCUCGCGUCCGAUUAGCUAGUUGGAGUGGUAACGGCACACCAAGGCGACAAUCGGUAGCGGGUUUGAGAGGAUGACCCGCCACACUGGGACUGAGACACGGCCCAGACUCCUACGGGAGGCAGCAGUGGGGAAUUUUCCGCAAUGGGCGCAAGCCUGACGGAGCAAGACCGCGUGCGGGAGGACGGCCUAUUGGUUGUAAACCGCUUUUGAUAGGGAAGAAGUUCUGACGGUACCUAUCGAAUCAGCAUCGGCUAACUCCGUGCCAGCAGCCGCGGUAAUACGGAGGAUGCAAGCGUUAUCCGGAAUUAUUGGGCGUAAAGCGUCCGUAGGUGGUUGUUCAAGUCUGCUGUUAAAGCGUGCGGCUUAACCGCAUACCAGCAGUGGAAACUGGGCGACUAGAGUGCGGUAGGGGUCAGGGGAAUUCCCAGUGUAGCGGUGAAAUGCGUAGAUAUUGGGAAGAACACCGGUGGCGAAAGCGCCUGACUGGACCUGCACUGACACUGAGGGACGAAAGCUAGGGGAGCGAAAGGGAUUAGAUACCCCUGUAGUC
rnacentral:rRNA from 1 species